CUGGUGAGUUGCCGCUUAAAGUUCCAUGCGAACAAGUGUUGGGAGGACACGGACAGAGCAACAGACAAGCAGCACGCACUGACCUGGAAGCAGCCCUGCUCGCGGCACGCUCUGGUAAUGUCCUGGAUGGCGAGCGCCCGCGUGGCCGGGUCCUUCCCGAGCCUGCCAAGGUUGAUGACCGGCAGCUGCCGCGGCGAGGGCGAGGACGAGGACGGCGCCGUCCGCUGCACCUGGCCCGCCAUGGAUGCUGACUUUUAG
rnacentral:misc_RNA from 1 species